AGAACGAACGCUGGCGGCAGGCUUAACACAUGCAAGUCGAGCGCUCAGCAAUGAGAGCGGCGCACGGGUGAGUAACACGUGGGAACGCGCCCUUUGGUUCGGAAUAACUCAGGGAAACUUGAGCUAAUACCGGAUAAGCCCUUACGGGGAAAGAUUUAUCGCCAUUGGAGCGGCCCGCGUCCGAUUAGCUAGUUGGUGAGGUAAAGGCUCACCAAGGCGACGAUCGGUAGCUGGUCUGAGAGGACGACCAGCCACACUGGGACUGAGACACGGCCCAGACUCCUACGGGAGGCAGCAGUGGGGAAUCUUGGACAAUGGGGGAAACCCUGAUCCAGCCAUGCCGCGUGAGUGAUGAAGGCCCUAGGGUUGUAAAACUCUUUCGGCGGGACGAUAAUGACGGUACCCGCGAGAAGAAGCUCCGGCUAACUUCGCGCCAGCAGCCGC
rnacentral:rRNA from 1 species